UACGAAGGGGGCUAGCGUUGUUCGGAAUUACUGGGCGUAAAGCGCACGUAGGCGGAUCGAUCAGUCAGGGGUGAAAUCCCAGGGCUCAACCCUGGAACUGCCUUUGAUACUGUCGAUCUGGAGUAUGGAAGAGGUGAGUGGAAUUCCGAGUGUAGAGGUGAAAAUUCGUAGAUAUUCGCAAGAACACCAGUGGCGAAGGCGGCUCACUGGCCCGGUACUGACGCUGAGGUGCGAAAGCGUGGGGAGCAAACAGG
rnacentral:rRNA from 1 species